rnacentral:lncRNA from 1 species
AUGGCGCCUGUGCUUGGCUUAGCUGCAGUCACCGGCCACUUUUUCAAACUUUUCUCCACUAACCUUCUAUUUUCCACCUUGCUCCUGUCUGCAAUCCUCUUCAGUAGUGUCCCUGCUACCAUCUCCUGUGAUCACCAGACUCUUUUGUCCUUCCGUUCGUUCACAAUCACCCAAGAUGCACCGAGGACGUACCUCCCUGUUUGUUUAUCUGAGUGGCGCACUGGCCCGGAGUCAAACAACGAUUCCAAACAGGGCGCCUCCAGCGAUGUUUAUUCGGUCCCGGAAAAACGUAGGAGGAAAAGAGGUAAACAAGCAGGAAUACAGGUGGGAAUAAGACUUCUCUUAAAGCGUGGUUUAUCUAGUAAACAUCGGCGUGAUCUUCUAGCUUCUCUUCCUUUGUUUGGCCACUUGAGCGCCACUUCUGCAUUCCCGCCAGGCCACGUUGUGACCUGGUUUCUCCGUCCAAGUUUUUUUUUAGGGUCGGUUUAUUCCUCAGUGGUUUCUCCUCCUGUUCCCUCCAUAAGUGGUUUUUAUAAACACUGUGGAUCUAACUCUGCUAAUUUAUACCCUCUAACUCCAGCUAUUUCUGUAGUUUCUGAUUCCUCCUCCUCACUCAGCAUGACUCUAUUAAAUACCUGCUCUGUUAACAAUAAGUCCUUCCUGCUCAAUGAUUUAAUUCUCUCUAAAAACCUGGAUUUUCUGUUUCUGACUGAAGUUUGGCAGCAAACAUCUGAUUAUUCUGGUCUGAUUGAACUCUGCCCGAGUGGUUAUUCUUUUCUUAGCCAGCCCCGGGGUUCUGGUCAUGGUGGAGGCCUAGCUGUUGUUUUCAGAGACCAUCUUCCAUGUAGCUCUACAACCUCUGGUCACUUUGCUUCCUUUGAACUGCAGCUGAUUAAAGUCGGGCGUAAGGACCUGUUCUACUGUGCUGUGGUCUAUCGUCCACCUGGUCCAAACAGUCCUUUCCUUCAGGAGUUUAGUGACUUUCUAUCUUCCACUGUGAAGCUGUCCAGACUGGUGAUUGUUGGUGAUUUUAACAUCCACGCUGAUGAUCCCACUGAUCACUUUGCCAUGAAUUUCUCCAGCCUUAUGGACUCCUUCAGCUUUACCCAGCAUGUAUCUGGCCCCACACACACCAGGGGGCACACUCUAGACCUUGUUUUUACCCUGGGUCUAAAUGCUGACAGUGUUUGUCCUGAGGAUGUUUAUAUUUCAGAUCACCAUUGCAUUUUCUUUAACUUGUCAGUUUCUGCGUCCCCACCUCCGGCUCGCCGUAUGGUUAGUUCUCGUUGUUUUAAUGAGAGCACAGCUAGCAAUUUUUCUGCUGCUUUUGAUCCACCCUGUUCUUCUGAUAAUGACCCAGAUUCCUUAACUUCUCAUUUUAACGAGCACUGCCUCUCCAGUCUGGACAACAUCUGUCCUGUCAUAAACAGAUCAGUUCCUGCAGUGAACCCUACUCCCUGGUUUAAUGACAGCCUUCGCAGCCUAAAGCGCUAA